rnacentral:rRNA from 1 species
AUGAACGCUAGCUACAGGCUUAACACAUGCAAGUCGAGGGGCAGCAUCAUCAAAGCUUGCUUUGAUGGAUGGCGACCGGCGCACGGGUGAGUAACACGUAUCCAACCUGCCGACAACACUGGGAUAGCCUUUCGAAAGAAAGAUUAAUACCGGAUGGCAUAGUUUUCCCGCAUGGGAUAAUUAUUAAAGAAUUUCGGUUGUCGAUGGGGAUGCGUUCCAUUAGGCAGUUGGCGGGGUAACGGCCCACCAAACCAACGAUGGAUAGGGGUUCUGAGAGGAAGGUCCCCCACAUUGGAACUGAGACACGGUCCAAACUCCUACGGGAGGCAGCAGUGAGGAAUAUUGGUCAAUGGACGAGAGUCUGAACCAGCCAAGUAGCGUGAAGGAUGACUGCCCUAUGGGUUGUAAACUUCUUUUAUACGGGAAUAAAGUUAGCCACGUGUGGCUUUUUGUAUGUACCGUAUGAAUAAGGAUCGGCUAACUCCGUGCCAGCAGCCGCGGUAAUACGGAGGAUCCGAGCGUUAUCCGGAUUUAUUGGGUUUAAAGGGAGCGUAGGCGGGUUGUUAAGUCAGUUGUGAAAGUUUGCGGCUCAACCGUAAAAUUGCAGUUGAUACUGGCGACCUUGAGUGCAACAGAGGUAGGCGGAAUUCGUGGUGUAGCGGUGAAAUGCUUAGAUAUCACGAAGAACUCCGAUUGCGAAGGCAGCUUACUGGAUUAUAACUGACGCUGAUGCUCGAAAGUGUGGGUAUCAAACAGGAUUAGAUACCCUGGUAGUCCACACAGUAAACGAUGAAUACUCGCUGUUGGCGAUAUACAGUCAGCGGCCAAGCGAAAGCAUUAAGUAUUCCACCUGGGGAGUACGCCGGCAACGGUGAAACUCAAAGGAAUUGACGGGGGCCCGCACAAGCAGUGGAGUAUGUGGUUUAAUUCGAAGCAACGCGAAGAACCUUACCAGGUCUUGACAUCCGAUGCAUAGCACAGAGAUGUGUGAAAUCCUUCGGGACAUCGAGACAGGUGGUGCAUGGUUGUCGUCAGCUCGUGCCGUGAGGUGUCGGCUUAAGUGCCAUAACGAGCGCAACCCUUAUCGAUAGUUACUAGCAGGUUAUGCUGAGGACUCUAUUGAGACUGCCGUCGUAAGAUGUGAGGAAGGUGGGGAUGACGUCAAAUCAGCACGGCCCUUACGUCCGGGGCUACACACGUGUUACAAUGGGGGGUACAGAAGGCAGCUACACGGCGACGUGGUGCUAAUCCCGAAAGCCUCUCUCAGUUCGGAUUGGAGUCUGCAACCCGACUCCAUGAAGCUGGAUUCGCUAGUAAUCGCGCAUCAGCCACGGCGCGGUGAAUACGUUCCCGGGCCUUGUACACACCGCCCGUCAAGCCAUGAAAGCCGGGGGUACCUGAAGUACGUAACCGCGAGGAGCGUCCUAGGGUAAAACUGGUGAUUGGGGCU